GCAAAAGCAAGGUAACCAAGUCAAACAAGGUCAGAGUUUGUUCUUGUGCCGAGUGUGCGAUUGCAGAAAUUCACUACAACACAAGAGUUCUAGGUUGUGAUUGAAUCGAAUAGCGUAAGAUGUGUUCCGGGUGGGUUUUCCUUUCGCAGUAGUUAAGUCCGGCGAGUCUCUGGUAACAACUCUUUCCCCUUGUUGCAUUCAGUGAGAGUGAAACCUGCUACACUGCUGGCAGAACAAGGGUUGAUAAUGUGAUCUUCAAAGUAUCGAACAAGUCUUUCUUAGAAUAAUAUAUAUAAUAAAAUAUGUGCACUUGACCACCCAAAACCACAGCGGCCCCAGUUUUUCAGCUGCCAGAACUAAAAAAUACUACUAUGAACCCAACUAACCUCUUAUCAAACUGUGUUCAUUGUUGACUUCAACAUUCUACAACUGGGUCGGUUUUGUUUUCAUCAAACAUAAGUUAGUUCUCUCUCUUUUCCGCUGGUCAGCCUUAAAAAGCGGAUUCUGCACAUUUCCUUUAAUAAAGGACAUCUACUACUUGCUAAUCUUCACACAUUCUGAACACUACUGAAUAUUGGGCAUGAUUGGAACUAGAUAGGUGCACCUUUCUUUGUGCCUAGUGAUCAAGAAGAUUUAUUGGAAAGGCAUCCUUCUUCAGACAGUUUGUCAAAAUGAGAAUAAGUGCACCUGAAGGUUUUAAUUCACCCCAUUAGUGAACCUAAUUAUAAAUCAGUACUCUAGCAGGUCAAGUGAGUGUGGAGGAUUGCCAGAGCAAUCUUUUCAACAAACAUCACUUUCAUGUGAUCAUCAGCCUAAAUACCUUCUUUAAGACCUAUCGACUUUUGAACACAUGGAUGACAUUUUCUUGUACAAGUGUAACCUCUGGGACUAAGAUACUUGGUUUUAUGCCUGUAGGAUAAUGAAAUCAUGUGAAACCUGAAAUGCACAAGUGUGGUCUGCAAUGUAGGAAGUCCAUUGCAAAUUGAAUAGCUCUUUGGUGUUUUUGCA